AGUGAAAGUUGACUUACAACAAUGGCUUUAGUGGCGGACUGGUGAGUAACACGUAAGCAACCUGCCUAUCAGAGGGGAACAACAGUUAGAAAUGACUGCUAAUACCGCAUAUGCCUAAGUACCACAUGGUACAAUAGGGAAAGGAGCAAUCUGCUGAUAGAUGGGCUUGCGUCUGAUUAGAUAGUUGGUGGGGUAACGGCCUACCAAGUCGACGAUCAGUAGCCGGACUGAGAGGUUGAACGGCCACAUUGGGACUGAGAUACGGCCCAGACUCCUACGGGAGGCAGCAGUCGGGAAUAUUGCGCAAUGGAGGAAACUCUGACGCAGUGACGCCGCGUGCAGGAAGAAGGUUUUCGGAUUGUAAACUGCUUUAGACAGGGAAGAAAAAAGACAGUACCUGUAGAAUAAGCUCCGGCUAACUACGUGCCAGCAGCCGCGGUAAUACGUAGGGAGCAAGCGUUAUCCGGAUUUAUUGGGUGUAAAGGGUGCGUAGACGGGAAAUUAAGUUAGUUGUGAAAUCCCUCGCCUUAACUGAGGAACUGCAACUAAAACUGGUUUUCUUGAGUGCUGGAGAGGAAAGUGGAAUUCCUAGUGUAGCGGUGAAAUGCGUAGAUAUUAGGAGGAACACCAGUGGCGAAGGCGACUUUCUGGACAGUAACUGACGUUGAGGCACGAAAGUGUGGGGAGCAAAC
rnacentral:rRNA from 1 species